UUCAAGGAAAAUAUUCCUGUUCUGCUUUAAAGCCCAUAUCUCCAACCUGUCAGAGCAAAUCACAGCAGAGUAUAAGGAGUUUUGAAGGGAGCAAAUCUACACGUCUAGUCCCUUGAAAGUGUCCACCUACAAGAGAGCAAAUCUUCCGUGUUCUGGGAAUUCCCUCCCUCAUUCUGUCAGUGUGGCUGUGCGUUCCUCUGCCAGCCGUCUUUUCUCUUCCUCAGCGCUCAGGCUCUUGACCGCUCCUACUGACAUCACUCAGUGUUCCCGCCACAUACACCUCGACUGCAACUCACAAACCACACACCACCCAUGAGUAUGGUUACUCUCAGGGUAGCCCUGAUGCAUAUUCUUGGUCCCUGCCGCGCUCCUGAAGGCUUCCGGUAGGAGAGGAAGAAGGCUUCCGGUGGGAGAGGGAGAAGGCUUCCGGUGGGGACAAAUCUCUACUUUGUCCUUUGUGGACUUCAUACGAGAUCCAGCUACAUAUUCUCCAAGAACCAGAAGGAAAAUUUUCACCUAUGAAAUGAUUGUCUCCAGAAGGCUACAGCUAACAUAAAAUUGGGAGCAGCACUGAGAAGAUUGAGGAAUCCAUACCUGAAGCUGCCACCUAAUAGCUUUUGGCUGUGACUGAUGACUUAACACUCUGAAUCUCCUUCACUCUAAAUGGUUGUAAAUGGUUGGGGGAGAGGAGGAGAGAGACGGCGAGUGAAGAGAAGGUGGCAAUUCGUUUCCUGCCUUACUCAUUUUCAGGGACUAUUGCGGGAAUCAAAGAAACUGUGAACGGAUUUUGAAAACAAGGGAAGAUCCCCAGUCUCACUGCUGGUGCCUACUCCUGCCCUUCCUUUUGAUUCUUGGCCUGUCAUAUAGAUAGCUGAAAUUCCUCCCAAAUUCAUAGUGUCAGGCAGAAGGUCUGCAGUUUCUGAGCUGGUCUAUGUUCUUAUUUGGGGGACUUAAGUGGGACUGGGGGGAGGUGACCUACCUUGGGGCACUUUAGGUAGCUCUUGACUGAGGGUGGUGGGCAGAAACUCACCUGGAUGUUUAGGUCACACUUUUUUGGUAGCAGAAAGACUUUCCUUCAAGGAUGCUCUAGACUUAGGCAGGACCAAGUGACUUAUUUCCUGUCUAAGUACAAGUGCUUAUACUUGUACUCAUAAAUGCUCAUAAAUGUCCACAGCCAUGUCCCCACUGCAUGGAGAUAUCAUUCUGAGAGAAAGGAGCUGACUGCAGAGAGAGUGAAUGGGCCAGACUGAGAGAAAGAGUGUCCUGAGAGCAGCAUUGCCCCUGCUGUUUCAGUUGUUUCACUCUUAAAAAAAAAAACAACAGAUUGACUCAGUUACAGCAGGAUGGCCACCCUGUUUGAAGGCCCUGGCAACCACCACACUGUUAAUCAAGGAAGCAGACAAACUCAUGUUGGGGCAAAAAUCUAAAUGUUAAGGUUCCCCAUUUAGUUAUUACCCUGAUGGAUGCCAGAGGACAACACUGGUUAACUCGUGUUAGGAUGACCCAAUAUCAGGGACUACUAUGUGAAAACCCACAAGUAAGAUUGGAAGCCAUAAAAACCCUAGGUAUUCAAUGGAACUUACACGCAGCCUACUGGCGCGAGUUCAGAGAAAGUGGGACGUAUGAACUGGACCCUUAAAUCAGCCAUGGCAAAACUGUAUCAGGAAACUAAAUUGCCCUGACCAGAUAUACUACCCCUAGCUCUUGUCCGAGUACGAUGCACACCCCAGACAAAAACAGGAGUCUCCCCAUUCAAGAUCUUACAUGGAAUGUCCCUUACACUAGUCAAAUUCAAGGGGUACCUGACAGAGCUAGGGAAUUUGGAAAUACAAAAACAACUAUAAGGGCUAGGGAGAACUAUAUUUGAGAUACACAGAUGGGUGACAAACAGGAUACCCAUUUCCCUAGGAAUAACUAUAUACCCUCACAAACAUGGGGAUCAGGUUUGGAUAAAAGAUUGGAAACAGGAACCACUGAAACCUACCUGGAAGAGAUCCUAUUUAGUUGUGCUGACCAUGCCCACGGCCCUCAAAUUUGCAGAAUUAACUGCCUGGAUCCACCAUUCUUGAGUAAAGGCAGCCCAUUUGUCAUCUGACAACCACUUGAAAUGGAAAGUAACUGCUAACCAGAAUAAUCCUCUACAGAUCACCCUUAAGAAAACAACGGAUGAUAAGCAGCCUGCAGCCAACACCUGAGAACUCUCUGUAACCAGAAGCUUGAGGAAAUAACCAAGUGACUUGAAUGAACUACAACAAAUCAUUCUCUCUCAAAUUUCAUUGUCAUCUCCUACCUAUUUAUCUUUCUAUACUUGUUAUACUCUUUACUGUAGGGCUUACCCAAGUUACUCCCUCAGAUUGGCACCUUAGUCACAAACUCUUGUUAGCUUCUCUCUACUUAUUAGUGUCAGGAUGUAUUAUUCUCUUUGGAUGUAUAUGAUCUGAGUCGUGAUUGAUGUCGUUCUCUGCAUGUUUGUUCUCUACCUUCUCCUACCACAGGAUGGAAUCAUUCCCUCCGAUGCUGAAUCAGCUUUGUCUCCUAUUCCUGUUGUGAAUAUACCUGUUCCUAACAUGCUCAAAAGGGAUCUUCUCCUCUUACCAACCAUCUACUUUUUCCACUUACCACCGCCCCUCUUGGAGGAAGGUUCCAGAAUAAGUUGCCAAAUCUCUGGUGGUUUUACAGGAUCGAGUAGACUCCUUAGUUGCUGUAGUCUUAUAAAACAGGAGAGGCCCAGACCUGCUAACUGCUGAAAGAGGAGGACUGUGUCUCUUCCUAAAUGAGGAAUGCUGCUUCCAUGUUAACCAAUCAAGGAUAGUUAGAGACAUGGCCCAACAACUAAGGGACCAGAUCAUUGAAUGGAGGCAAGAAUUAGCAGACUCAUGGAACUUUUGCAGCAACAUAUGGAAUUGGGCAUCCUGGCUCCUCCUUCAGCUAGUCCUCUCCUAAUGCUUUUCAAAGCCCUCCUGUUUGGUCCUUCUAUUAAUAUGCUAACCAGGUUUGUUUCCUCUCACCUAGAAGCUAUAAAAUUCCAGAUGAUGCUCCUGUUGGACCAUUCUAGCUGUUGCUACUGUCGUUUGGAUGGUGAAAAACGCUAGCUGUCACACCCCGCCCUUUGACAUCCCUGUCAAGCAGGAAGAAGCCAUAACGGUCUUUGGUCCUCCUCCCAUGACAGCAAGGGGUUCCCCAGUCCCCACAAACUGAUUUUCUCUAAGGCUGCUACAGUAGCUUGAGAAUCAAGAGGGGGAAACGAGAAGGGAAGCCAGCAAGAGCAGAUAAAGGAGGCCAGCCAGAUGUCCAAGGCCACGUACUGCCCUUGCAUGCUUUUGGCUUCUGUAAUCUUGCUUGCUUCUUGCAUCAGCUGACUGCCCUUGUAGCACAACUGAUAGUACCCCACCUCUGUGCAGCCAAUAGAAUGUUUCCAAGUACCCAGAAGCAGCCGGGUAUAAAAGAAGGCCAGCGCCAGGGCUCAGGGCUCAGGGCUCAGUCUUUGGGCCAGCACCAGUGAGAAAUAAACAGUCUUUUCUGAUUCCCUAGGUGCGUGUCACCUGUCUCUUCCUGGGUACUGACUAUUUGCUGUAACAACCUGAGCCAAAAAUCAAGAGUCAGAUGCUUACCUGACUGAGCCACCCAGGUGCUCCUAGAGUGAUCUUGCUAAGCUAGUCACUUCUCCAAUCAAAAUGUACCAAUGACUUCUCGUCUCACUCAGAAUAAAAUCCAAAGUCCUUAUCAUGACCUCUAAGGCUCUCCAUAAUUUAGCUUCUGAUCCUUCUGACCUCAUCUCCAAUACGUUGUCCCUUACCUACUGCCCUUUAUCCAUAUCAGCCUCUCUGAUGUUCCUAGAACACACCAGGCCCCCUCCCACGUUAGGGCUUAAGUUAGCUCCUCCAGGUAGGCUCUUCUCCCAGAUAGCUGCAUACAUUCCUCCCACUUUUCACUUAGGUCUCUGCUCAAAUGCCAGCUUCUCAGAGAGUCCUUCACUGCCCGUCCCAACGAAAACAGCAUAAUUCCAAUAUCCUGUGCCACCAUUUCAACCUCUAUCCUCCUUACAUUGUUUUAUUCCAUCUACCACAUGAAGCAUGGACUUGUUUAUUGUCUUUCUUCCACUGAAAAAUCUGUGAGGGCAGGAACCUCAGCCAUUUUGCUCGCUGCUGUGUCAUCAGCACAUAAAACAGCUCCAGGCACCUAGGAAAACUCUGUGAAUGUAUUGCAUCAUGCAUAUAUACACAUGGAUGAGAAAAUCCCUGUCCUCACUUCAGAGGGAAGUCAAACUAAAGGUAACACAUCAGUUGUAACACAUCCAUCCUUGGGAGGUAGCUCUUGGAAACCCAGCCACUUUGUGGGUAGCAUGUGUGAUACUAGUCUCAGGACACUCUCUCUCUCUCUCUCUCUCCAAUGCAGACAGUGGCAAUAAGUCUGCCAGCCUACCCAAGUGACAGCAAUAACUGUAAUAACAACAAUCGUAAUAGCCAAUAUCACUGAUUGAACACUCAUUUUAUGCCAGGCACUUUUCAAGUGCUUUGUUUUUGUUAACUUAUUUUAACGGCCACAACAACCCUGUGAGAAAGGCCCUGUCAUUUUACCUAUUUACGAUUAGGAAAUUAAGUCACAAGUGGGCUAAGCAACUUGCCUGAAGUCACAAAACUACUUAGUUGCAUAGCUGGGGUUUGAACUAUUACAGGCUGGCUCACAAAUCUAGAUUAUUAACCACAUUGCCACUGGAGUGCAAAUGUUCUUUAUCAUGACUUAUGCUUUGAAACGUAGUUCUGAUUGCCUCUUAGUACACACACACACAUACACACACACGCACGCACACACACACAGAGUAUAUAAUUAAAGCAAAAUCUUCACAAAACAAUACAUGUGCUCUAAUGGAUUGUGAUCAGCAACACAAAAAAUACUGCAACAGACCCUGUUUGAAGACCUCUCCAUUCCUCAUUACAACUACUUCCACCUCUAAUCCUGCAUUCAAACAAGUCCCAGGGGUGAAUUAUACUUAAACCCCUAUGGGCUCAGACAGAAGGGCCUAUUUAGACGUCUCAGACUGUAAGGAAAAGGACAAGUCUGGGAGGACCUGCCUAGAGAGAGGAGGAGGAAAUAUGGAAAAAAAAAAAAAGAAAAAAAAAGAAAAACAAGGUAGAGAAAUUAACUUCACCUCCUACACAAUUUGCCUAAGGCCGGCCCCACCCUGCCAGCCGGAGAGGUUCUGUCACUCUGCAGAACCAGAAGUCAGUCACUAUUGUAAAUAGAAAGGUUAUUUCUAGGGGCCCCUGGGUGGCUCAGUCUGUGAAGCGGCCGACUCUGGCUCAGGUCAUGA